UCCUUCAAACAUAAGGACAUUCCUAAUUGAUCCCAAACUUUUAAACAGUAGUGUACAUAUCUAUCCAUGUCAUACAACAGAGUUGAACCCAGGCAGCAGGCACAGACGGGUUGGUGAAUUUAAUAAAGAACUAAAAAAAUACUCAAAACAGGAAACACGGGGAAUGAACUAACAGGAAUCGAAACUGAAACUAAAGCGACAGCGCACGGCUGCGGUGGGAAACUAAACAAAACCAAAUUCAAAACAUGGAAAGGAAACUCACUCUUAGUCCAAAUGGGUUCAGGAGAUGGCACAGAAACAAAACUGGUAAUACUGAUAGCAGGGACAUGACUGGGGCGAUGGAGCAGGUGGAAUCAGCAGUAGAUCCAGGGGUUUGUGGAGCGGAGCAGGGAGGACGAUCAGACGUGGAUUCCGAGGUGAGGAGGGGAGAUGUGGCAACGGGUAUCCAGGGGGAAGACGACAUGCAGGGAACGGUGAACAGCCGGUAUCAGGGCCGAACGCCCAGCAUCCGAUCUCGCUCGAAGAGGUUCAGCCGUCGUCGCUGUCACACCAAACUGAACAAAAUAUCUCGCAGCAAAGACUCUCCACCCUGAACAACAGAUGAGAUACAGAAGAGCCAAAUGGUAAAUGUUAUUUCCCUGUAAAUGUCCAAUACGGAAUCCUGUGCAAAAUAAAUCACUACUUCCAAAUUAGCCCAAUAAAGUCAAAUUACAUGUAUAGUACAUUUAUGAGUGAAUAUCAAGUGUAACUAUCAAGCUUUGAUAAUGGUGGGUCACUUGUUCUGUGGAUCAACAAUAAUGCUGGACAUAUUAAUGGAUAUCUAAUACCACCAACAUUCAUAUGCAUUAUUAUGAUGUUGUGGUUUGGAUUACCGGUUUGUGUACUUGUAAUCUGAUAUACAUUAUGCUCAUUUGCAGCUGUGAUCUCUUAGUAGGUUAAUCUAUGGUUACAGAGAGUGAAGCUGUGGGCAGCUUAGGGGUCCUAUGGGAUGUGUCAUUCAGUAGACUUCUGACAGCCUCAAAAUGCAGCCAUGUUGUGCUAAUGUGCAUAUGUUUAUGUAUUUUCAAAUGCCCAAAAGUCGCAAUAUAAAUAUGUAGCGAUUGUGUAAAAGGUUUAGAUUAUUACUAAUGCUAAAAUGACAUUUCCACAGAAGUUGCAAAUUAAACAAAAAAAACAUAUUUUCUAAAACAGUGUCACAGUUCCGUUCCUCUGCCCUGUCUGUCUGUCUGGUUGUCUCCCAUCCGCUUCUCUACCCUGACUCUCCUCCCACAGCUCGGUGCCUGAGUGGAGUCUAGCUUCUCAGCUGACUCCACUCAGGCAAUCAACUACCUCCACGGCUCCCGGACAGCUGACUAUCAUCUCACUAACGACUCACCUCUACAAUAAGUACCGGCUCAGCCUUCCACUCCCUGCCAGAGUAUUGAACCUGAAACCAUGCAGUUCGGUUUGCUCUCUAGCCUUUGACAUUUUCUGUUUGAAUUCCUGCUUUAUUCUAACCUUGUUUUUUCUCCUGCCUCCACGCAGCCAGCUGUCCGGGUUCCCCACUCCUGCCUGGAACCCCCCACUCCUGCCUGGAACCCCCCGCUCAUGCACUCUGGUUUCCCCAUCCUGGCCAUUAUUCAUCCCCAACAAUAAAUCACUCUUCAUCUCC